AACGAACGCUGGCGGCAUGCCUAACACAUGCAAGUCGAACGAGACCUUCGGGUCUAGUGGCGCAUGGGUGCGUAACGCGUGGGAACCUGCCCUUAGGUUCGGAAUAACUCCCCGAAAGGGGUGCUAAUACCGGAUAAUGUCUUCGGACCAAAGAUUUAUCGCGUUUGGAUGGGCCCGCGUUGGAUUAGCUUGUUGUUAGGGUAAAAGCCUACCAAGGCGACGAUCCCUAGCUGGUCUGAGAGGCUGAUCAGCCACACUGGGACUGAGACACGGCCCAGACUCCUACGGGAGGCAGCAGUGGGGAAUAUUGGACAAUGGGGGAAAGCCUGAUCCAGCACGGCCGCGUGAGUGAUGAAGGCCGUAGGGAUGUAAAGCUCUUUUACCCGGGAUGAUAAUGACAGUACCGGGAGAAUAAGCCCCGGCUAACUCCGUG
rnacentral:rRNA from 1 species